AAACUUGGGCUAAUACCGCAUGAGCCCUGAGGGGGAAAGCGGGGGAUCUUCGGACCUCGCGCUAAGGGAAGAGCCUACGUCUGAUUAGCUAGUUGGUAGGGUAAAGGCCUACCAAGGCGACGAUCAGUAGCUGGUCUGAGAGGACGACCAGCCACACUGGGACUGAGACACGGCCCAGACUCCUACGGGAGGCAGCAGUGGGGAAUUUUUCGCAAUGGGGGCAACCCUGACGAAGCAAUGCCGCGUGGAUGAAGAAGGCCUUCGGGUUGUAAAGUCCUUUCGUGGGGGACGAAAAGGCGGGUCCUAAUACGAUCUGCUGUUGACGUGAACCCAAGAAGAAGCACCGGCUAACUCCGUGCCAGCAGCCGCGGUAAUACGGGGGGUGCAAGCGUUAAUCGGAAUCACUGGGCGUAAAGGGUGCGUAGGCGGUACGUUAGGUCUGUCGUGAAAUCCCCGGGCUCAACCUGGGAAUGGCGGUAGAAACCGGCGCACUAGAGUAUGGGAGAGGGUGGUGGAAUUCCAGGUGUAGCGGUGAAAUGCGUAGAGAUCUGGAGGAACAUCAGUGGCGAAGGCGGCCACCUGGCCCAAUACUGACGCUGAGGCACGAAAGCGUGGGGAGCAAACAGGAUUAGAUACCCUGGUAGUCCACGCCCUAAACGAUGAAUACUAGAUGUUUGGUACCUAGCGUACUGAGUGUCGUAGCUAACGCGAUAAGUAUUCCGCCUGGGAAGUACGGCCGCAAGGUUAAAACUCAAAGGAAUUGACGG
rnacentral:rRNA from 1 species